CCCUUAGAUGUUCUGGGCCGCACGCGCGCUACACUGACGAAUGCAACGAGCUUAUAACCUUGGCCGAAAGGUCUGGGUAAUCUCCAAAUUUCGUCGUGAUGGGGAUAGAUUAUUGCAAUUAUUAAUCUUCAACGAGGAAUGCCUAGUAAGCGUGAUUCAUCAAAUCGCGUUGAUUACGUCCCUGCCCUUUGUACACACCGCCCGUCGCUCCUACCGAUUGAGUGUGUUGGUGAGGAGUUUGGAUUGGCCUCGGAAGGUGGUUCGCCACCGUCCGUAGCUGAGAAGUUCUCCAAACCGCCCCACUUAGAGGAAGGAGAANUCGUANCA
rnacentral:rRNA from 1 species